rnacentral:rRNA from 1 species
GAUGAACGCUGGCGGCGUGCUUAACACAUGCAAGUCGAACGGAAAGGCUCCUGCUUGCAGGGGUACUCGAGUGGCGAACGGGUGAGUAACACGUGGGUGAUCUGCCCUGCACUUCGGGAUAAGCCUGGGAAACUGGGUCUAAUACCGGAUAGGACGAUGGUUUGGAUGCCAUUGUGGAAAGUUUUUUCGGUGUGGGAUGAGCUCGCGGCCUAUCAGCUUGUUGGUGGGGUAAUGGCCUACCAAGGCGUCGACGGGUAGCCGGCCUGAGAGGGUGUACGGCCACAUUGGGACUGAGAUACGGCCCAGACUCCUACGGGAGGCAGCAGUGGGGAAUAUUGCACAAUGGGCGGAAGCCUGAUGCAGCGACGCCGCGUGGGGGAUGACGGCCUUCGGGUUGUAAACUCCUUUCGCUAGGGACGAAGCGCAAGUGACGGUACCUGGAGAAGAAGCACCGGCUAACUACGUG